ACUCACAAUCCAGUGUUGCCAUAGUGGCUGUGGCAUAGGCCUCAGUUGCAGCUCUGAUUCAACAACAACAAAAAAAUACACAAAAAACAAAAACAAAACCUAUUUCUGUCUUGCAUCAAAGAAUUAUAUACUCUAGAAAUUCUUUCAUUAAGAAUUUAUAGGUGAUAUACUCUUUAGAAUUUUUCAUGCUUGAAUUAUUUUAAACUUCAUAUAUGCUUUAGGUAUAGACUUAUUUCUUCUUAAAAAUACUCAAAUAUUCAUUAAAUAUUUUCAUAAAUAUUUUGCAUUUGUAAAAUAUUUUAGAUUUUAUUUUGAUGAAGUCUGAUGCCAAAUUUAUUCCAGUUUAUUUUUAAUAUUCUUUUGUCUGAAAGGGUCCAGAUUUUUUUUUUUGAUAUUAACAAAUCUACACAUUUUUGUAUGUUUGUAUCUAUUUUUCUGCCCAGCACUUCCUGGUCUUUUCCAUCUGCGCACAUUUCCCCCAGUUUUGGAGUAUUAGCCUCUUACUUCUUUACAGAGAACAUUUCUUAUUUUCUCUUUUCUCUUUCACUCUUUUUAGAGGGAUUUAUAAUAUCUGCUUCCAUUUCUUAAUCUCCUUUGUCUUCUUUAUCCCCCCACACUUUUACUUUGUGCUGCAUUCUAGAUAGAUUCUAUGGCUAGAUAUUUUAGGAAAGUAAUAUGCUAUUUAGUGCUUUAAAAAAGUUAAUCCAGCACAACUACCAUUUUAAGAUUGCACUCACCAUUUAAAAUUUCAACUGUCUUUAUAUUUUCUUUCAUAAGCUAUCCUAACUUACUGAUUAUAUUGUCAUACUUCCUUUAAAAUUGCAUUCAUUUUAGUAUCCCACCGGUCACUUAUUUCAACUUUAAAGUUAUGAACACUUAUUUACUAAAAAUCAAAACUUAGGCUCCUGAAAAGGCAAAGUGAAUGCAUUUCUUCCUCUACUCUAGAUAUAAUAUGAAAACAAAAUAAUGAAAACCAGUGCAAGAAAGUUUGAAUGUAGAGUCAGAAUAAGAGGUAUAAAUUGAAACUUUGGGAUUACAAUAUGGGGUUAUAAUAUGUAGGGAUUGGUUUAAUUCUUUUGUCAUGUUAACCUUUUAUGAUGUUUUAUGCAAUUGUAAUUACUUUGGAUUCUUUCUGUGGUACCAAAUGGAACAAAACUUGUAUCUGCUCAUCCAACAUGCAGCAAACCUACUGACACCAGGUUGUGGUGAAGCAACGUACAAUAUUUACUGCAGGGUGUCAAGCAAGGAGAAUGUGCAGCUAGUGCUCAAAAGAACUGAACUCCCCCGCAGUAUUCAGGCCGCCUCAAUGUGGGACACAACCUGAAGAAGCACCUGUCAUCUGGGACAUUAUGGAAUUUUCGUGAAAGAGGGAAGAAUGCAAGAGGGGUAAAUAAAAGCAUGUGAUAUCUCUUGGGGUUUCUGCUCAGAACUAGCACACAUCACUUCAGCCCAAGGGACUUGUGUACGCUCAUUCAGGAACUCAUUAGGAACAUUUCUACCCCAAGUUAUUUCAGGACUCAGUUUUAUCAAAUUCAAUUCCACUGUUACACAUGGUUGAAAAAUUUCUGUCUAUACUAACAGCCUAAUGGCUGACCACUGUGUGUCUGUAAUUUUGAUGCCACAGACUUUAGGUUUUGUUAUGGCAGCAUUCCAUAUCCAGUAUCAAUUCUGUAUUAGCGUGCUUUUGUUAUAAUUAUGCGUAACAUUUAGCUGACAACAUUGACAUUUGCAAUGCCUUGCAUUUCUGUCUUGCUUUAGUGUUUAGCAAUUUGUUGUGAUUCUUCAGAGUUCGGCUGGGCUUAAUCUUUGCUAGACUUGGAUGUCGGAUGCAAGUUGGGUGAAAUAGUGUUUCCCAUGUCUCCUUGCUUUGUAAUGAAGGAGUACAUCUGAUAUGAGACAUAGCCUCAUGGUAGAAGACAGAAAAAAAUAGAGUGGUGAAUGGAAAUACAUCUCUCUGAAAACCCGAGUCUGUUCUGUCCACCCUGUACCAGCCAAAUUACCUGGCCAAGGCAAAAGUCAGUGGGAAAAUUUUGUUUUUUCUGUAUUAAACCAUGGCAUGAGCGAGGACAAAUAAUGAUUAAAUAAUGCAUCCACCUACCUGGUAAACUAGUAUUUAUCUAGUAUUUAUCUUUCAUUUGUAUAUACUUUUCAUUAACCUACUUUAUUUCAGAAAAUA